rnacentral:tRNA from 1 species
CCAUCGGUCGUUCAGUGGUAGAAUGCUCGCCUGCCACGCGGGCGGCCCGGGUUCCCGGCCGAUGCA